rnacentral:rRNA from 1 species
GACGAACGCUGGCGGCGUGCUUAACACAUGCAAGUCGAACGUGAUUUUUGUGGAAAUUCUUUCGGGAAUGGAAAUGAAAUGAAAGUGGCGAACGGGUGAGUAACACGUGAGCAACCUACCUUACACAGGGGAUAGCCGUUGGAAACGACGAUUAAUACCGCAUGAGACCACAGCAUCGCAUGAUAUAGGGGUCAAAGAUUUAUCGGUGUUAGAAGGGCUCGCGUCUGAUUAGCUAGUUGGAAGGGUAAAGGCCUACCAAGGCGACGAUCAGUAGCCGGUCUGAGAGGAUGAACGGCCACAUUGGAACUGAGACACGGUCCAAACUCCUACGGGAGGCAGCAGUGGGGAAUAUUGCACAAUGGGGGGAACCCUGAUGCAGCGACGCCGCGUGAGCGAAGAAGGUUUUCGAAUCGUAAAGCUCUGUCCUAUGAGAAGAUAAUGACGGUAUCAUAGGAGGAAGCCCCGGCUAAAUACGUG